rnacentral:tRNA from 1 species
GGGGGUAUAGCUCAGUGGUAGAGCGUGUGCUUAGCAUGCACAAGGUUCUGGGUUUAAUCCCCAGUACUCCGU